rnacentral:antisense_RNA from 1 species
CUUCAGCGAGCCGAGCAGCAGCGGCCGGUCGACGGGACGGUCCUGGCCGUAGGUGGCCAGCAGGGCCUGGGCCUC